UAUAGACUUGCUCCAAGUCUCUCUUUCAUUGUCAUAUAGUAUCGAUCCACUAUAGUGUACAUUACAUGACGUAGCACGGAGGGGCGGAGCGAGAAAGAGAGACCUGUCAACUUCGGAAAAUCUCGGUUCAAAACUGAACCGAAAAUGCAAGACUUGCUUUAAUUGUUUUCCUUCAAUUUCUUUAUGUAUUAUUUACUAUACUGAAUUCAUGUUAUUUACAUUGUGCUAGAUCAAUACAUAUAAAUACUGACAGAAAACAAUUAAAGCAAGUCUUGCAUUUUCGGUUCAGUUUUGAACCGAGAUUUUCCGAAGUUGACAAGUCUCUCUUUCU